rnacentral:rRNA from 1 species
UACGUAGGGUGCAGGCGUUAAUCGGAAUUACUGGGCGUAAAGCGUGCGCAGGCGGUUUCUUAAGUCAGAUGUGAAAGUCCCGGGCUUAACCUGGGAACUGCGUUUGAAACUGGGAGACUUGAGUGUGGCAGAGGGGGGUGGAAUUCCACGUGUAGCAGUGAAAUGCGUAGAUAUGUGGAGGAACACCGAUGGCGAAGGCAGCCCCCUGGGUUAACACUGACGCUCAUGCACGAAAGCGUGGGGAGCAAACAGG